UUCCGUAGGUGAACCUGCGGAAGGAUCAUUAGUGAAUCUUCAAAGUCGGCUCGUUGGAUUGUGCUGGUGGGCAGCCACAUGUGCACGUCUGCGGGUCGCAAAUCCACACACCUGUGCAUCUAYGACUCUGAGUGCCGCUUUGCAUGGCCCUUGAUUGGACCUGGYGCUCGAGUACUUUUCACACACUCUUGAAUGUAACGGAAUGUCAAUGUUGUGCAUAAUGUACAAACGAAACAACUUUCAACAACGGAUCUCUUGGCUCUCGCAUCGAUGAAGAACGCAGCGAAAUGCGAUAAGUAAUGUGAAUUGCAGAAUUCAGUGAAUCAUCGAAUCUUUGAACGCACCUUGCACCCUUUGGUAUUCCGAAGGGUACGCCCGUUUGAGUGUCAUUGUAAUCUCACUACCAUCGACUUUGGUCUUUUCGGUAUGUGGACWUGGAUGCUGCCGUUGAUGUYGACGGCUCGUCUGAAAUGCCUGAGUGUACCCUGCUUUGCGGCGUAUUCGGUGUGAUACAUCUUCACCGGAGUUGAUCCUUGUGGUCGCGUCUGUAAUGGUGUGGCUCUAUGCUUCCAAUCGUCUCKUUGGUUAGACAAUCUCUGACAAUUUGACCUCAAAUCGGGUGGGACUACCCGCUGAACUUAAGCAUAUCAAUAAGCGGAGGAAAAGAAACUAACAAGGAUUCCCCUAGUAACGGCGAGUGAAGAGGGAAAAGCUCAAAUUUUGAAUCUGGUGUCUUUGACUCCCGAGUUGUAAUCUAGAGAAGUGUUUUCCGUGUCGGACCGUGCACAAGUUCCCUGGAACGGGGCGUCAUAGAGGGUGAGAAUCCCGUAUAUGGCAUGGACUACCGAUGCUUUUGUGAUACACUCUCAACGAGUCGAGUUGUUUGGGAAUGCAGCUCAAAAUGGGUGGUAAAUUCCAUCUAAAGCUAAAUAUUGGCGAGAGACCGAUAGCGAACAAGUACCGUGAGGGAAAGAUGAAAAGCACUUUGGAAAGAGAGUGAAACAGUACGUGAAAUUGUUGAAAGGGAAGCGUUUGAAGUCAGUCAUAUCUGGCGGGAUUCAGCCGGGCUUUUGCCAGGUGUACUUCUCGUCCGAUGGGUCAGCAUCAAUUUCGACCGGGGGAAAAAGGCAUUGGGAAUGUGGCUGUCUUCGGGCAGUGUUAUAGCCUCGUGUUGUAUGCCUCGGUUGGGAUUGAGGAACGCAGCGCGCCGCAUGGCCAGGGGUUCGCCUCUUGACACGCGCUUAGGAUGCUGGCAUAAUGGCUUUAAGCGACCCGUCUUG
rnacentral:rRNA from 1 species